AUAAGCAACUAAAUGGAGCGGUGGGAGUAUUUUUCCGAUCAGAGGCGUGGCGACGGCGACCGAGGCUCCUCUUCUCCCUUUCUCUUCGGCUCCAUCGGUGAAAAUGUCCAUCUCCAACGGCCUCCACCCCCACCGAGAUGACGCCACCGACGACGAAGACGACGGCGACUACGGAUCUGCCGCCCACGACGCCUACUACCACCCGAUCUCCGCCUUCGAUGACGGCUUCGAUCCCAACUCUAACUCCGACGUCGCCUCCGGAGGGAUCGUUGAAGCCGCCUCCCCGAUCCGACCCAACGGCGGCGCCUUGUUCCACCUUCGGAACCCUGACCCUAGUUUCCUCUUUCUCGACGCCGAGAGUGGCAUAUCGGCUCUGGAUCUGAACGGGGGUGGCGAUGGCGUUGUCGCUUCUAGCGGAGGCUUGGUGGAAGAGGUGGAGGAUGAAGAAGCCGAGGAGGAGAGCGUGAGGCAGCGGGAAGUGUCGAUCUCGAGGGCGUUCAGGGAGGACGAGAGGCGAAGGUCCGCACCGUUGACGCCGGAGAACGCCGCGAGGGUCCUCGAUGCGAUGAGGGGAGUCGCGUUCCAAGGUGUCCCUCCGGAUUGGGCGGAACGAGUGCCCGAAGACCAGUGGGUGGCUCGGCUUAGGCGUAUGAGAGCCUUUUCUUCUAUGAUGGAAACGCAAAAAAAAGGGGGGGGAAAGAUGGAAUUCGAUUUAAUGCUCAUCAUCAUCUAUGAUUAUUUAUGUUUUGUACAUAAAUUCAUGUUUGCUACAGACUGAUCUCAUGCCACUGAUAGUGUUUGUGAUCCUCUAUUAAGAUUAUUGGUGGAGAGAUAUCAUCGAACACAGUAUAUGAUCUGGAAUCAAGACUUGGUGACUUAGGUUCUCGGAUGACGAAACUUUAGGAGAAUGAACCUGACAACCGGAAGAUCACCUAAAAAAAUUUGGCAUGGGUCUAAAGGGAGUAGUGGACUAUAUACAUGGACCUCGAGGAAGUCAUGAUCGAUGAAGAUUCACGUUGGGUGAUACAAUGGAAAUAAUUAUAUAAAUGGUGUUCCUAAGCCACAUGGAAAGUGAGAAAUCCUUUUGGGCUAACGCAUAUUGGAGUCUGUACCAGUCGUUGAAUCGGUCGAAGGUGAACCUUCUGAGUUUGGUGGUUCCACUGCUUCGGUAUCAUGGUAGCAAUUGACACACCAUCAAAAGAAUCUUAUGCUGGGAUUAUUCUGUGGAGAGCAGCUUUUAGGUGUUGUCUAUGAUGCUAAUCUGAGUCGGGAGUUAGAACUUUGUGCCUCUGGUAUUAUGUAGCCAGCAGCUUAGUCGUCUUCUCCGCCGGACAUGGUGGAGAGAGAGAGAGAGAGAUGGAUGUGUCGGUCGGAUCUCUCCCGAGUGCUGCAAGAUUCGUGCUGGAGUCCAAACUACGUGGCGUCGUGUAACAGCAGAAAACGAACGCUUCAAGAUUCGUGCGGGAGUCGAACCUAAAAAAGCUUGGUUUCAAUAAUAAGAUCAGGGAAAGGAUGAAGGAUGGGGGAGGUGAAGACCACAAACGUAACGCAGCUUUAAGCUGUUCCCAUGGGAACCGCCACUUCUUCCGACAUACUUAACUUUCCCGACGUCCCACUGCCAAUUUGGACCACCAGCAUCUUUCCGUGGAUUCAUUACCUCCUCGCUGUGAAUAUUAUUCACAUCGGUCAUAGGGUUGACAAGUCCGUCCUUGGCCUUGCAACUUGCAGCUCAACUUGCAGGAGGGUGAGGGAGGGACAUUAAAGGCUGCCUUGCAACUUGCAGCUCAACUUGUCCGCCAUCACACUCAUCGGUACAGCUGAAAUAAUGUUCAGCAGGAGAAGAAAGCCGAAGCCGAUGGCCAGAGAGUAACCGAUGUAGGACAGAAAGCUGAUGGAGAAAUCAAGGGAAGCAGCUCCAACUUGCUCUCUCCUCUCUCUUAAAUCCACAAGCUGAGGUAUCCAAUGCCACCAACUUGCAUAUGAAGACAUCAAUAUUUCUUCUUCUUCUUCUUCUUCAGCUUUUUGACCCUUUUUUAAGGACAAUUUGUGGGCACUCAUUAAUUCAUAAGCAGGAAUAAGUUGAUUGAAUAUUUAUAAACUGAUGCACAACAGUAUUCUGGCAUUCGAUAUUAUGCUUGCAAGUCCAACUAUGGGGAAUCAGAUCGGAAACAGUAUUCUGGCAUUCGAGAAAUAUAGAUCGAAGAGACGGUAAUUGGAAAAGGGGAAAGCUUUAGAAAGAGCCCGUCGAAUCUCAUUUAAUUAUGGGUUGCCCUCCCGCCGCCGCUGUUGCUGCCGCGCUUGACGAGAGGCCUUGGGCGGUCCGCGCCAAGGACUGGAGGUUGCACCUGACGAUGGUGUCGACGAACACCCGCGUCUCCUCCGUGGUGUUGCCCGGCGGCACGUCCACCACGUACGACUCCACCACCACCGUGCGCCCGCCGCCGCCGCCGCUUCCGCCGUCCUGGUGCAGCGUGGUCACGGACCGGUAGUUGGCGAGGCGGUGCUCGCCGCCGACCACCCGGAAGCUGAGCACGUGGCGCUCGUCGUCGAGGAUCUCGAGGCGCUCCGUGCUGGUGGCCGCCGGCAGGCCGGAGACGACGCUCACCUCCCGCAGCGUGCCGACGUCGCCGUCCCCGACGACGACGUCGCACCUCCUCACGAAUUGCUUGUACGCCUGCGGCUGGUCGAAGCGCCGCACCACCGACCACACCGCCGCCACCGGGGCCUUCACCGCCUGCACCACCGCCGAGCAGCACUGGUUCAACCCCACCGCGUGCUCGUGGUGCCUCGCCACCGCCUCCGGCACCUCGUGCGCCGUACACCUCUCCCACUCCGUCUCCUCCUCUUGGUGUUCGAUGCAAGUCCUCGUUCCAGGAAGACAAGGCAUCGCUUCGCUUCUUUCCCUUCUAAUCUGUAACACCGAGAGAGAGAGAGAGAGAGAGAGAGACGGAGAGAGAGAGAAAUGGGAGGAGUUGCCGUUGGGCAGAAGAAAGGCCAUAUAAAUAGUGGUGUGUAGGGAAGUGAAUGGUGUUGUAUGGUGUGCAAGCAAUGGGUUGAUUGGUUCUCAGAUUGGUUGAUGGAUGCCGUGGGUCAUGCGACACGAAGCUAAGCUGCGUUCGUAUAGGUCAUCGGUAAUUGUCAUUUGUGAUGCGGUUGGAUGUUUGUACAAAUUAUCUUUUUCUCA